rnacentral:lncRNA from 1 species
CGAGUUAGCGGGAUUGGUGCACCAGUGCAUGCUCCACUUGUUAUAUAACCUGUUUGUGUAAGUUCAUACUUGGCUCUGAGCCACUAUUGUCUUAGCAGGUACAACUGCCCUGCUAUUGCUGUACAGGAGCUGCUGGAGCCCAGAAAAAUAGAGAACCAGAGCUGCUCAUCUUGCAGAUGGACAGAGGAGAGCCAGGGCAUGGCCUGCCUGGACGUGGCAUGCACUCUGGUCCCCAGAGAGAGAGUAGCACUGUGUCUGGAAUUGGAGCAAAAAGGGAAUUCAGAGGACAUCCUAAUGAAAAAUGAAAAUGGAUCAUCACACAAGUAGCUUAUUAUGAGAUGUAAAACCCCAUGAAAAAUUAAUAUAAUAUUUCUCAAGCAGGUUUCCAUCUUGAGCAAAACUCCCUUGGAUCCUGACAAGAGCGGCCCUUGGUACUUUAGAAGAAUUUGAAUAUGAGCCUUGUACUUUAAAAGAUUUUGAAUAUCUUAGACACAC